GGCAGUUCUCAGGUGACACACCCUGGAAUUGGGCUCCCUCCUCUCCGGUUCCAGGUGUGUCACCAGAGAACCAUA
rfam:Myotis lucifugus cont2.43320, whole genome shotgun sequence.